CUCUUGCAGCAAUCCAUGAAUUGGUUACUAUUAUUAGUUUACAUUGAAAAGACUGAGCUUGCUAAUGGUGGUGAACUUCCCCAAGUUAAAAAGAGGUGAAGAGAUUGAGCCAGCUAUGUCUGUCCCCUUUACUAGGAAAGAAAAGGUUUUCCCAGAACCCUCGCUGGCAGACUGCUGCUUGCAUAUCACUGGUGUGAUAACUAAAUAACACGUCAAUCCUCACUUCAAGGAAAUCUGGAAAAUCUAGUCGGUGUUUCAAGUGAACGGCUAUAAGGAAGAGGUUGGGUCCAGCACCCUGCAGGUUUGCCAUAAUCCAUAACUGUUAACCAGGGGCCUCUCCCUAUACUAGCUGACCCAAAUCUCCAGGGAAUCAACUUAAUUUUUUAAAAGCAUAUUCAAUAUGCUUCCAUACAUGGAAACAUUUAAAAUGAGCAGUAAGUUUAAAGGAAAUUAAACUUAAUAUCUUCUUCCAUCUGAGAAUCUGUGAGAGAUGUAAUGAUCAAUAUAUGGUAUGGGAGACAUUUUAAAAAUUUAUUUUAUCCAAGUAUAGUUGAUUUACAGAGUUGUUUUCAUUUCUUCUGCACAGCAAAAUGAAUUAGUUGUACAUACAUAUACUUUUUCAUAUUCUUUUUUUUUUUUUUUUUUGUCUGCCAUAUGGCAUAUGGAGUUUCCAGGUGAGGAAUCAGAUCUAAGUCACAGUUGCAACCUGAGCUGCAGCUGUAGCAAUGCUGGAUCCUCAACCCACCAUGCUGGGCUGGGCAUCAAACCUGCAUCCCAGUGCUCCCAAGAUGCUGCCAAUCCCGUUGUGCCCAGACAGAACUCCAUUUUUCAUAUUCUUUUCAAUAUGGUUUAUCACAGGAUAUUGAAUAUAGUUCCCCUUGCUGUACAGUAGGACCUUGUUGUUUAUCAAUCCUACAUGUAAUAGUUUGCACCUGCUAAUCCUAAACUCCCAAUCUGUCCCUUCCCUACCUCCCUCCCCCAUGGCAACCAGAAGUCUGUUCUCUAUGUCUGUGGGUCUGUGUCUGUUUCAUAGAUAAGUUCAUUUGCGUCAUAUUUUGUCAUAUAUUAGAUUUGAGAAUUUUUCUAUUUAACCAAAGGGGGCAUGAAUUUAAGCAGGUUAAAAUGCAUGGGAUCAGGAAGUGAGCACUAUGGACACUACUAGGAGACAUUAUCUGUAUUACCAAGGGCUUUUCAUGAAAUAGAACCAACACACACACAUGUAUGGAGACAGAGAGAGAGAUGGAGAGAGAGGUUUGAUUUAUCAGGAGGAAUGUAAUUAUGGAGGCUUAGAAAUCCUAAGAUCUGUUGUAUGCAAGCUGGAGACACGGGUAAGUCAGUGGUAUAAUUCAGAGUCCAAAGACCUGAGAACCAGGGAAGCCAAUGAUCUAAGUCUCAGUCCAAGGGUGGGAGAAGAUUGGUGCCCCAGCUCAGACAGGCAGAGAGCAAAUUCUCCCUUCCUCCACUUUUUUCUUUUGUUUGGGCCCUCAGCAGAUUGGACAAUUCCCACCCACCCCAAGGAGGGCCAUCUGCUUUACUCAGUCUAACUCAAAUGCUAACUUCUUCUGGAAACACCCUCACAGACUCCUCCCAAGGUGAUUUUUAGUCAAAUAGCUGGGCACGUGUGAUCCCAUCAAGUUGACACAUAAACUUAAGCAUCACAUUAUCCAAUACCCUGAAAGUUACAGGAAUGCUAACAACCACAUACAAAGAGGAGUCAACUGCCCUCUUUGUCAGCUUCAACUCAUCUAGCAAAAGGGGCCAGUGUGUUCUCAGGGAUCCUACCUCAAGUCAAGUUGCAAGGUGUCACAAGCAGUUUGGUGACAGUGUCAUCUCUUUCUAAAGUGCAAGCAAGAUCCACAGGGGUAGGGAGAAAGGGAGACACAUGCUGUAAACCAAGGCCAGGGUGACGUGCCUUGUCUGGCUAUGUUUUCCUUCAGGGUCACUUGGCCUAGAGUGCAGUCAAGUUCAGGUGAUUUGAGGAAAAGCUCCUCCAUUCCACAUGACUGCUAAUUGCCCAAGAAGCAAAGCACAACGGAAAUAGCAGGCAGAUAUGACUCCAAAUGUUGGUGAUGACUGUAUUUAACCUUUCCUAAAGGAACAUUAAAAAGGCUUUAAUGCUUUGGUAGGGGGAAUCCCGAUGUGUGAAAAAAGAAACAGACAUUUGCUGACAAGAGUCUCUUUCCACCUGAAGGAACCGUGCCAGAAUCAAUUUCUAAUAGGAGUGAAGGCUAAUGAGAGUGCAUUGUCAAUUGCAGGCACAUUCUGCCUUCUCUUCUACAUCUCUAAAGGCUCCUCUGGACAGACCGUAAAUUACCCUGACCUUAAAGAAAAUGUUCACACUAAGGCUUUGGUUUUUAUGAACAUUCCACCUGGACGGUCUGACCCAGCUUUAGAUAUAAUAAGAAAGAAGCCAAGAACCAGCUGAGCCACACAGAGCCAAGGCUCAGGCCUGGCUCGAUGAUGAUUCAGGCCUUGCCACCCAUAUAUCUAAGAAAAGAGCAUUAUUUCCAUAAAUGAUAACCAAACCCAGGGCUGAUUUGGAAUAGCUACUUGCUAUCCCAAAUUGGCUUUGGCUGUCAUUAAAAUUACAGUGACAUUUAGGGAUUUCUUACAGGUUGCAGAAAGCUAUGGUUGAGAGCAUCAUAUCAUCUUUUGUUUGUGGCCAGGAUACUGGCUAUUGUACUAGGCAGCAUUCUUGACUGAAAAUGUAGACACCAACUCUAGGUCUGUACCAGAUGCAUUUUAGGAUCCCACCAAGUAUCCGUGUGUGUGGCACAGCGCCAUGAGCACUAUAGGCAUCACGGUCCCGCAUCCUGUCUGUUGGCAAUGCUGCACUUCAUCCCCCUGGGCAUGCCCUCUAUGCUCCUGACUCUACUGAGUUAUCACCAGCUGACUAGUCUCUCAAGAUUCAGCUUGGACAGCAGCACCUUACAGUUUGUACUGAGGCCACAUGGCCAUGUUCAAGCUCAAGCUGCCAGGGGAUGGGGAAGUUCUCCACACAGAAAGGGGAUCCAGUGCAGCCAAGCAAUCAUGCUCACUGAAGGUAAAUU
rnacentral:lncRNA from 1 species